AGUGAACGCUGGCGGUAGGCCUAACACAUGCAAGUCGAACGGCAGCACAGUAAGAGCUUGCUCUUACGGGUGGCGAGUGGCGGACGGGUGAGGAAUACAUCGGAAUCUACUUUUUCGUGGGUGAUAACGUAGGGAAACUUACGCUAAUACCGCAUACGACCUACGGGUGAAAUCAGGGGAUCUUCGGACCUUUCGCGAUUGAAUGAGCCGAUGUCGGAUUAGCUAGUUGGCUGGGUAAAGUCCCACCAAGGCGACGAUCCGUAGCUGGUCUGAGAGGAUGAUCAGCCACACUGGAACUGAGACACGGUACAGACUACUACGGGAGGCAGCAGUGGGGAAUAUUGGACAAUGGGCGCAAGCAUGAUCCAGCAAUACCGCGUGGGUGAAGAAGGCCUUCGGGUUGUAAAGCCCUUUUGUUGGGAAAGAAAAGCAGCAGGUUAAUACCCCGCUGUUCUGACGGUACCAAAAGAAUAAGCACCGGCUAACUUCGUG
rnacentral:rRNA from 1 species